rnacentral:rRNA from 1 species
UGCCAGCCGCCGCGGUAAUACGUAGGUGGCAAGCGUUGUCCGGAAUUAUUGGGCGUAAAGCGCGCGUAGGCGGGGAGGCAAGUCGGGUGUGAAAUCCCUCGGCUCAACUGAGGAACUGCGCCCGAAACUGCUUCUCUUGAGUCCCGGAGAGGAAGGUGGAAUUCCCGGUGUAGCGGUGAAAUGUGUAGAGAUCGGGAGGAACACCGGUGGCGAAGGCGGCCUUCUGGACGGUGACUGACGCUGAGGCGCGAAAGCGUGGGGAGCAAACGGGAUUAGAUA